AAAAGUUGGAAGGUAAUUAGCUCGCAGUCUCGCACUACAUGACUACGAAUUUGCAGUUGGUAGCUUCUAAUUCAAGAUUGGUAGCCAAUUACUGGUAGCAUCAACUGGUAGAAAUGUUUGCUUGGGGGUUGGUGCAACGGAAAAUUAUUGGCCUGGUCCGAGCUUGUUUGGGAGUUGGCGCAGGCUUUCACCUUUUACUCCCUAAAAGAUGUACGAUCUCAAAGUGUGGAUACUGGAUGACUGACAAGGAUUCGACAAGUCUAUUUCAGAUGGAGGCGAUGGAGGGCACAAAUCAUAGGUUCUCAUCAGUUAGUGAUGCAAAGUUCCCAGAUGUAUGCCCUAUGGAGCAAUCAAAUAACACGCUGAAACAUUCUUGGCACUCUAGGAAGAUCCGAGAAUUCGAGAGGUACAAUGAAACACUCCGCCUGGAAGUGAUGAUGGUGGAGCAGAAAUUAGAGGUAAUUACCGAACUUUAGCAGGAAGUAGCAGCAGGGAUCGAUGAUUUGAAGAAUUCUUCUUUUGCCAACAUGUUAUUGAUGAAAGCAGCAGGUGUCAACAUGUUAUUGACGAAAGCAGCAGUUGGCCUCGCUACAGUUCAUCUGGGUUGAAAUGUUGAUACUGA